GAUGAACGCUGGCGGCAUGCCUAAUACAUGCAAGUCGAGCGGACGGACCAGCAGCUUCCUUCUCUGAUGUUAGCGGCGGACGGGUGAGUAACACGUGCAUAACCUACCUAUACGACUCGCAUAACUUCGGGAAACCGGAGCUAAUACCGGUUCAUAUUUUUAACCGCAUGGUUCAACAGUGAGAGACGGUCUUGCUGUCACUUAUAGAUGGAUCGGCGCUGCAUUAGCUAGUUGGUAAGGUAACGGCUUACCAAGGCAACGAUGCAUAGCCGACCUGAGAGGGUGAUAAGCCACACCAGAACUGAGCCGCGGUACAGACUACUCUGGGAGGCAGCGGUAGAGAGUCGUCCACAAUGGGCGAAAGGAUGACGGGACAACGCCGAGUGAGGGAUAGAGGUACUCGGAUAUGAGAUCUCUGCUAUUAGGGAAGAACAUAAGUGUAAGUGACGGUACACAUCUUGACGGUACCUAAUCAGAAAGCCACGGCUAACUACGUG
rnacentral:rRNA from 1 species